rnacentral:rRNA from 1 species
UACGGAGGGUGCGAGCGUUAUCCGGAAUUACUGGGCUUAAAGGGUGCGUAGGCGGUGAUAUAAGUCAGUGGUGAAAGGCCGUAGCUUAACUAUGGGAUUGCCAUUGAUACUGUAUGACUUGAAUCAGGAUGAGGUUGGCGGAAUGUGGCAUGUAGCGGUGAAAUGCAUAGAUAUGCCAUAGAACACCGAUUGCGAAGGCAGCUGACUGGGCCUUGAUUGACGCUGAGGCACGAAAGCGUGGGGAGCGAACAGG